rnacentral:rRNA from 1 species
UGCUCCUCUGACGUUAGCGGCGGACGGGUGAGUAACACGUGGAUAACCUACCUAUAAGACUGGGAUAACUUCGGGAAACCGGAGCUAAUACCGGAUAAUAUAUUGAACCGCAUGGUUCAAUAGUGAAAGACGGUUUUGCUGUCACUUAUAGAUGGAUCCGCGCCGCAUUAGCUAGUUGGUAAGGUAACGGCUUACCAAGGCAACGAUGCGUAGCCGACCUGAGAGGGUGAUCGGCCACACUGGAACUGAGACACGGUCCAGACUCCUACGGGAGGCAGCAGUAGGGAAUCUUCCGCAAUGGGCGAAAGCCUGACGGAGCAACGCCGCGUGAGUGAUGAAGGUCUUCGGAUCGUAAAACUCUGUUAUUAGGGAAGAACAAAUGUGUAAG